AUGUGUAUUGACUCUGCUUUGAAGCAAAUAAAAGGUAUAACAGAAUAUUUUGAGAAGUACAGAGAUGAUGGGUUUUCUUCAAGUUUGACCAUCGCCAAAGGUAUUGCGACUGAAAUGGGAAUUGAUCCCGUGUUUCCAAUGAAACGUCGUGCUUUUCGUGUUAAAUAUUUUUUUGUUUUGGUUGAUAUGGCGGUCACUUCUUUGAAGGAUAGAUUUAAAGAACUAAUGGUGUUCAAAGAUAUCUUUGGAUUUUUAUUGAGCUCGGGCACCCUGAAGCCAUUAAGUGAUAAUGAACUUGAAGAGUGUUGCACAAAAUUUGCAGAAACAUUCUCUCUUGAUGGUUCAUCUGAUGUAGAGGUAUAUGAUCUUAUUUCUGAAUUAAAGAUUAUGAGAUUCACUUUGCCAAAUGGCGUAAUGUCUGCCAUGGAGAUUUUUGGGCAUGUUAGAGAAGUUGAUUGUUAUCCGAAUAUCUCCAUUGCUUAUCACAUCUUAUUUACUGUGCCUGUGAUGGUCGCAUCGGCCGAGAGAAGCUUUUCAAAGCUGAAAUUGUUGAAGAAUUAUUUGAGGUCAACAAUGACUCAAGAAAGGUUAAAUGGUUUGGCUACAUUAUGCAUCGAGAAGAAAUUAUUGGAUGAGAUUGACAUCAACCCCAUCAUAAGCGACUUUGCAUCGAGGAAAGUUAGAAGAAAUUUU
rnacentral:rRNA from 1 species